AGCUUCCAUGCUCUACUUUUAGGGUUUUGCUAUCUCAUGAUUUUCCAUUAUUCAUCUAGUUUCACCAUGUCUAUAGUGAACUAAACUCUAUUUGGUAAGCAGAAAUGGUGAUGCGGGAUGAACCGGAAGCUGGGUUACGGUGCCUAACUGCGCGCUAACCUAGACCCCACAAAGGUUGUUGGUCGAUUAAGACAGCAAGACAGUGGUCAUGGAAGUCGAAAUCCGCUAAGGAGUGUGUAACAACUCACCUGCCGAAUCAACUAGCCCUGAAAAUGGAUGGCCCUAAAGCGCGCCACCUAUACCCGGCCGUCGGGGCAAGGACGAAGCCCCGAUGAGUAGGAGGGCGCGGCGGUCGCUGCAAAACCUAGGGCGUGAGCUCAGGUGGAGCGAUCAUUGGUG
rfam:Vigna angularis cultivar Jingnong 6 chromosome 9, whole genome shotgun sequence.